UACGUAGGCAGCAAGCGUUGUUCGGAGUUACUGGGCGUAAAGGGUGCGUAGGCGGCUUCUUAAGUCUGGUGUGAAAUCUCCCGGCUCAACUGGGAGGGUGCGCCGGAUACUGAGGGGCUAGAGUGUGGGAGAGGAAAGUGGAAUUCCUGGUGUAGCGGUGAAAUGCGUAGAUAUCUGGAGGAACACCGGUGGCGAAGGCGGCAUCCUGGACCGGCACUGACGCUGAGGAGCGAAAGCCAGGGGAGCAAACGGG
rnacentral:rRNA from 1 species